AGAUGAGCUCGCGUCUGAUUAGCUAGUUGGUGUGGUAAGAGCGCACCAAGGCGAAAAUAAAAAGCUGGUCUGAGAGGAUGAUCAGCCACACUGGAACUGAGACACGGUCCAGACUCCUACGGGAGGCAGCAGUGGGGAAUCUUGCGCAAUGGGCGAAAGCCUGACGCAGCGACGCCGCGUGAGUGAUGAAGGCCUUCGGGUUGUAAAGCUCUGUGGAGAGGGACGAAUAAGGGCCGUCGAACAGACGGCCCGAUGACGGUACCUCUUUAGCAAGCACCGGCUAACUCUGUGCCAGCAGCCGCGGUAA
rnacentral:rRNA from 1 species